rnacentral:tRNA from 1 species
AGUCCUGUGGUGUAAUAAAACUCGUUGAAUUGCAAAUUCGAAGAAGCAGAGUAGAAUCUGCCGGGGCUU